AGCUGGCUAAACUGCAAGUCGAGGGAGAAAUCCGCUUCGAUGAGUAAACCGGCGAACGGGUGCGUAACACGUGGAUAAUCUACCUCCAUGACCGGGACAACUGGCCGAAAGGCUUGCUAAUACCGGAUAAGCCCACGGACUCUUCGGGGUUUGAGGGAAAAGGUGGCCUCUGUAAACAAGCUAUCGCAGGGAGAUGAGUCCGCGGCCCAUCAGCUAGUUGGCGGGGUAAGAGCCCACCAAGGCAACGACGGGUAGCUGGUCUGAGAGGAUGAUCAGCCACACUGGAACUGAGACACGGUCCAGACUCCUACGGGAGGCAGCAGUGGGGAAUCUUGCGCAAUGGGCGAAAGCCUGACGCAGCAACGCCGCGUGUGUGAUGAAGGUCUUCGGAUCGUAAAGCACUGUCGCGAGGGAAGAUACGCUUCUGACUAACAAGCGGAGGCUAAGACGGUACCUCGAGAGGAAGCACCGGCUAACUCUGUGCCAGCAGCCGCGGUAAUACAGAGGGUGCGAGCGUUGUUCGGAAUUAUUGGGCGUAAAGCGCUUGUAAGCGGCUUGUUAAGUCGCGUGUGAAAUCCCCAGCUUAACCUGGGAAGUGCGCGCGAAACUGGCGAGCUUGAAUGCCGGAAAGGGUCACGGAAUUCCCGGUGUAAAGGUGAAUUCGUAGAUAUCGGGAGGACACCCAGUGGCGAAGGCGGCGACCUGAACGGACAUUGACCGUGAAACGCCAAAGCUUGGGGAACAAACAGGAUUAGAACCCUGGGAAACCACACUGAAAACCAUGGGUGCUAAUUGGGGCGGAUUUUGACCCGGUCGUGGACAGAGUAAGCGACAAAGCGCUCCCCCUGGGAAAUAGCGGCCCUAAGGCUAAAACUCAGAGGAAU
rnacentral:rRNA from 1 species